rnacentral:rRNA from 1 species
UGCAGUCGAACGGAGUUGAGGGGCUUGCUCCUCAAUUUAGUGGCGCACGGGUGAGUAACGCGUAGAUAAUCUGCCUGAUGAUCUGGGAUAACACUUCGAAAGGGGUGCUAAUACCGGAUAAGCCCACGGGAUCUUUGGAUUCUGCGGGAAAAGGGGGGGACCUUCGGGCCUUUUGUCAUCAGAUGAGUCUGCGUACCAUUAGCUAGUUGGUAGGGUAAUGGCCUACCAAGGCUACGAUGGUUAGCUGGUUUGAGAGAAUGAUCAGCCACACUGGAACUGAGACACGGUCCAGACUCCUACGGGAGGCAGCAGUGGGGAAUUUUGCGCAAUGGGCGAAAGCCUGACGCAGCAACGCCGCGUGAGUGAUGAAGGCUUUCGGGUCGUAAAGCUCUGUCGAGGGGAAAGAAGUGUACGGAGGUUAAUACCCUCUGUACUUGACGGUACCCCUAAAGGAAGCACCGGCUAACUCCGUGCCAGCAGCCGCGGUAAUACGGGGGGUGCAAGCGUUGUUCGGAAUUAUUGGGCGUAAAGAGCGUGUAGGCGGUUUGUUAAGUCUGUUGUGAAAGCCCUGGGCUCAACCCAGGAAGUGCACUGGAUACUGGCAGACUUGAAUACGGGAGAGGGUAGUGGAAUUCCUAGUGUAGGAGUGAAAUCCGUAGAUAUUAGGAGGAACACCGGUGGCGAAGGCGGCUACCUGGACCGAUAUUGACGCUGAGACGCGAAAGCGUGGGUAGCAAACAGGAUUAGAUACCCUGGUAGUCCACGCCGUAAACGAUGAGAACUAGGUGUUGCGGGUAUUGACCCCUGCAGUGCCGCAGCUAACGCAUUAAGUCUCCGC